rnacentral:rRNA from 1 species
GACGAACGCUGGCGGCGUGCUUAACACAUGCAAGUCGAACGGAAAGGCCCUGCUUUUGUGGGGUGCUCGAGUGGCGAACGGGUGAGUAACACGUGAGUAACCUGCCCUUGACUUUGGGAUAACUUCAGGAAACUGGGGCUAAUACCGGAUAGGAGCUCCUGCUGCAUGGUGGGGGUUGGAAAGUUUCGGCGGUUGGGGAUGGACUCGCGGCUUAUCAGCUUGUUGGUGGGGUAGUGGCUUACCAAGGCUUUGACGGGUAGCCGGCCUGAGAGGGUGACCGGCCACAUGGGGACUGAGAUACGGCCCAGACUCCUACGGGAGGCAGCAGUGGGGAAUAUUGCACAACGGGCGGAAGCCUGAUGCAGCAACGCCGCGUGCGGGAUGACGUCCUUCGGGUUGUAAACCGCUGUCGCCUGUGACGAAGCGUGAGUGACGGUAAUGGGUAAAGAAGCACCGGCUAACUACGUG